CCCGCUGAAUUUAAGCAUAUUAAUAAGCGGAGGAAAAGAAACUAACAAGGAUUCCCUCAGUAGCGGCGAGUGAAGCGGGAAGAGCUCAAAUUUGAAAUCUCCGAUGCUUGCAUCGGCGAGUUGUAGUUGCGAGAAGCACUUUCUAGGCGGAUCGACGGUGCCUAAGUUGCUUAAAACGGCACGUCGCAGAGGGUGACAACCCCGUCUGUGGCGCYGCCGGCCGCCGACGAUGUGCUUUCGAAGAGUMGGGUUGUUUGGGAAUGCAGCCCAAAACGGGUGGUAAACCCCAUCUAAAGCUAAAUACUGGCGUGAGACCGAUAGCGAACAAGUACCGUGAGGGAARGAUGAAAAGAACUUUGAAAAGAGAGUUAAAAAGUACGUGAAACCGUCGAAAGGGAAACGAAUGGACUCAGCAAUGCGCCCUCUGAGAUUCAGCCGGUGGGUGGCGGCGGCGCCGGGUUUGCGGAUCUGAAUGGACCGCGGCCUGGCGCCCGCCUCUCCCCGCCGUCGCACUUCUCUGRGGCGCGCGUCAACGUGGGUUGGGACUGGGUCUGAAAGGCGCCGGGAAGGUAGGUGUGGGCCUUCGGGUCCGUUCUGUUACAGCCCGGUUCUCUCAUGGCUCGGGCCCGACCGAGGAGCGACACGGGGCAUGCCUCCUGUGGCUAGGGUCCCGCCCUUCYGGCCGGCUGUCCAGUGCGGUGGACUGCUUGCAGUGCUCCGYGACGGCUGCCGGUCGUUGGGGUGGUGAUCUCGUACCAUGCCCCUAGGAUGUUGGCGGUCAUAUGGGUGC
rnacentral:rRNA from 1 species